rnacentral:rRNA from 1 species
AUUGAACGCUGGCGGAAUGCUUUACACAUGCAAGUCGAACGACGAACCUUAGCUUGCUAAGGGGAUUAGUGGCGAACGGGUGAGUAAUGUAUCGGAACGUAUCCAAUAAUGGGGGAUAACUAGUCGAAAGAUUAGCUAAUACCGCAUACGUCCUACGGGAGAAAGCUAGGGACCUUCGGGCCUGGCGUUACUGGAGCGGCCGAUAUCUGAUUAGCUAGUUGGUGGGGUAAAGGCUCACCAAGGCGACGAUCAGUAGCUGGUCUGAGAGGACGACCAGCCACACUGGAACUGAGACACGGUCCAGACUCCUACGGGAGGCAGCAGUGGGGAAUUUUGGACAAUGGGCGAAAGCCUGAUCCAGCCAUUCCGCGUGAGUGAAGAAGGCCUUCGGGUUGUAAAGCUCUUUCGCAAGGGAAGAAAACUUAAGCUCUAACAUAGCUUGAGGUUGACGGUACCUUGAUAAGAAGCACCGGCUAACUACGUGCCAGCCGCCGCCGUAA